rnacentral:rRNA from 1 species
UACGUAGGGUGCGAGCGUUAAUCGGAAUUACUGGGCGUAAAGCGUGCGCAGGCGGUUCGCCAAGUCAGGUGUGAAAUCCCCGGGCUUAACCUGGGAAUUGCGCUUGAAACUAGCGGGCUUGAGUGCGGCAGAGGGGGGUGGAAUUCCACGUGUAGCAGUGAAAUGCGUAGAGAUGUGGAGGAACACCGAUGGCGAAGGCAGCCCCCUGGGAUAACACUGACGCUCAUGCACGAAAGCGUGGGGAGCAAACAGG